GAUGAACGCUGGCGGUAUGCUUUACACAUGCAAGUCGAACGCAAGGAAUUUCCUUGAGUGGCGGACGGGUGAGUAACACGUGAGAAUUCGCCUUUAGGCGGGGAAUAACCAUGGGAACCAUGGCUAAUGCCCCAUAUGCUUGCAAAAGUGAAAGGAGUAAUCCACCCAAAGAGAAGCUCGCGGCUGAUUAGCUAGUUGGUAAGGUAAUGGCUUACCAAGGCGACGAUCAGAGCUGGUUUGAGAGAACGAUCAGCCACACUGGAACUGAGACACGGUCCAGACUCCUACGGGAGGCAGCAGUGGGGAAUUUUCCGCAAUGGGCGGAAAGACCUGACGGAGCAAUACCGCGUGAGGGAUGACGGCCUUUGGGUUGUAAACCUCUUUUAUCAAGGAGGAAGUUCUGACGUGUACUUGAUGAAUAAGCAUCGG
rnacentral:rRNA from 1 species